AACGAACGCUGGCGGCAGGCCUAACACAUGCAAGUCGAGCGCGCCCUUCGGGGUGAGCGGCGGACGGGUGAGUAACGCGUGGGAACGUGCCCUUUUCUACGGAAUAGCCUCGGGAAACUGAGAGUAAUACCGUAUACGCCCUUUGGGGGAAAGAUUUAUCGGAAAAGGAUCGGCCCGCGUUGGAUUAGGUAGUUGGUGGGGUAAUGGCCUACCAAGCCGACGAUCCAUAGCUGGUUUGAGAGGAUGAUCAGCCACACUGGGACUGAGACACGGCCCAGACUCCUACGGGAGGCAGCAGUGGGGAAUCUUAGACAAUGGGGGCAACCCUGAUCUAGCCAUGCCGCGUGAGUGAUGAAGGCCUUAGGGUUGUAAAGCUCUUUCAGCUGGGAAGAUAAUGACGGUACCAGCAGAAGAAGCCCCGGCUAACUCCAUG
rnacentral:rRNA from 1 species